rnacentral:rRNA from 1 species
CUGAGUACGGCGGAACACGUGAAAUUCCGUCGGAAUCCGGGAGGACCAUCUCCCAAGGCUAAAUACUCCCUAGUGACCGAUAGUGAACCAGUACCGUGAGGGAAAGGUGAAAAGCACCCCGGAAGGGGAGUGAAACAGUUCCUGAAACCGUGUGCCUACAAGUAGUUAGAGCCCGUUAAUGGGUGAUAGCGUGCCUUUUGUAGAAUGAACCGGCGAGUUACGAUUUGUUGCAAGGUUAAGCGGAAAAAGCGGAGCCGUAGCGAAAGCGAGUCUGAAUAGGGCGCAUAAGUAACAGGUCGUAGACCCGAAACCAGGUGAUCUACCCAUGUCCAGGAUGAAGGUAAGGUAAUACUUACUGGAGGUCCGAACCCACGCACGUUGAAAAGUGCGGGGAUGAGGUGUGGGUAGCGGAGAAAUUCCAAUCGAACUUGGAGAUAGCUGGUUCUCUCCGAAAUAGCUUUAGGGCUAGCCUCGAGGUAAAGAGUCAUGGAGGUAGAGCACUGUUUGGACUAGGGGCCCUUCUCGGGUUACCGAAUUCAGAUAAACUCCGAAUGCCAUGUACUUAUACUCGGGAGUCAGACUGCGAGUGAUAAGAUCCGUAGUCGAAAGGGAAACAGCCCAGACCACCAGUUAAGGUCCCCAAAUAUAUGUUAAGUGGAAAAGGAUGUGGGGUUGCUUAGACAACCAGGAUGUUGGCUUAGAAGCAGCCACCAUUGAAAGAGUGCGUAAUAGCUCACUGGUCGAGUGACCCCGCGCCGAAAAUGUACCGGGGCUAAACAUAUUACCGAAACUGUGGAUGAACCUCUUUAGAGGUUCGUGGUAGGAGAGCGUUCUAAGGGCGGUGAAGUCAGACCGGAAGGACUGGUGGAGCGCUUAGAAGUGAGAAUGCCGGUAUGAGUAGCGAAAGAAGGGUGAGAAUCCCUUCCACCGAAUAUCUAAGGUUUCCUGAGGAAGGCUCGUCCGCUCAGGGUU